CUCAGAAUCUUAACUUAAAAAGGAUUUUUACUUACAAUUAUAAUAAGUACUCUACAAGAAAAGAAGAUAUUAUUGAUGAUAUAACAAACGCAUGCAGGUGACACAAGUUUGGUGGUGAGUGGGAAAGGGUACAAACUUGAAGGAAGGAAGAUGAGCGAGUCGUCACGUCAGCAAAGUCAGAAUCCGUCGCCUCCACGUGGCAUGGAUAACGCUGUGACGUACUCUGACGUCACCACGUUUAACAACCCACCAUAGCCUGUAGGUUCCGGCCACGUCAACGUACGCUUACAGCAUCAUCACGUCUUGG
rnacentral:lncRNA from 1 species